CACAAACCUGUCAUAGGAAUCUUUAACCUGGAGAUGAGGAAGCGUUGUGACAGUGCGCUGGUCAGUGUGUGUCCAGAGGGUCAGUGGAGCGCUGACCAGGAUGCUGUGCUGUCCUACACAAUCCUUGAAGACUUCAUGUCCUCUACCUGGGACUGGUUAGGACUUUACAAGGUGGGUUUUAAGACUGCGUCGGAUUACGCUACCUUCGUCUGGGUCAAAGGUGAACUAGCAGAGGUCAACGAGGUCAUGCAGGU